AUGCACGCUGGCGGCGUGCCUAAUCCCUGCCAGUCGAGCGCACAGACGAGGAGCUUGCUCCUCUGACGUUAGCGGCGGACGGGUGAGUAACACGUGGAUAACCUACCUAUAAGACUGGGAUAACUUCGGGAAACCGGAGCUAAUACCGGAUAAUAUAUUGAACCGCAUGGUUCAAUAGUGAAAGACGGUUUUGCUGUCACUUAUAGAUGGAUCCGCGCCGCAUUAGCUAGUUGGUAAGGUAACGGCUUACCAAGGCAACGAUGCGUAGCCGACCUGAGAGGGUGAUCGGCCACACUGGAACUGAGACACGGUCCAGACUCCUACGGGAGGCAGCAGUAGGGAAUCUUCCGCAAUGGGCGAAAGCUUGACGGAGCAACGCCGCGUGAGUGAUGAAGGUCUUCGGAUCGUAAAACUCUGUUAUUAGGGAAGAACAAAUGUGUAAGUAACUAUGCACGUCUUGACGGUACCUAAUCAGAAAGCCACGGCUAACUACGUG
rnacentral:rRNA from 1 species